AAAACCUAGAGAACAUAAAGCAAUUCUAUUUGUUUCGGUUCUAUCUGCUAACUAGGUAAAGAUGACUAACACACCUGAUGAUGGAUUCAGUGCUGUACUGGGGGUCAAAGGAGAGGUCAAACCUGGUGAGAAGAGAACUCAUUACACAAGAAAGUCAUUAAUUGAGCAGAAAGAGAGAAGUACACUACACAUUACCUACAAAUCAGAUGGACUAAAAGUACACAAACCUGGACUGAAAUUACACGCAGCUAUGAAUAUUUUUUUUUGUAAACUGCUCAGAGCUUUAGUGAAUUAAUGAGAACAGAACAUGUUUAACUGGAAACUAAGUUACUUUUAGUGGGCCUAUAGGUAGUUGGUCUCACUGGAGUGUUGGGGGUCAAAGUAGAACUAACAGUCGAACCUGCUGGGAAGCAAUACAAGACAAGUUAAUUGUGUAUCUGAUUACACAAGAAUUAAGGUAUUCAUCAUUUAGUUAGAAAACAACACAACUCAGUCAACAGGAAAAUGACAUGUUCACAAUAGCAUAAUGUGGCACAUUAUUGUUGACACCCAGACCUUUGACUGAAUGUACAAUUGGAAACUGUAUUUGCAAAGACGGUCCCUUAGAGGACGAAUACACCUGUUGUAGGACUCACUGUGAUGAUGAGGGGAAAAGUAGAACCAGGGCCUUUCUUUCUGCUGUAACGAGCUCUGCUAUAAAAUAACAGCAGCACUAGGGCUGUUGCCGUGUUACCGCUACACUGGCUUUAUUUGUCACAUGCCGAAUACAACAGGUAGACCUUACUGUGAAAUGCUAACUUACAAGAGGUCACUUUUUAAAAAAUGUACAAGCGGUCCUUUUUGAUAAUGGUGUUUUCCGCUAAUGGAACAUUCGCGCUUAUAGCCUACUCUUUGUGCUCAUUGCUGCUCUUAUAAUGUGAAGAAAUAGCCAAAUAGUUUAUCAAUAUUUUAAGAUAAACGUUCUGAUCUGUUGCGUCAGCCACAUUGCAUAAAAUAGUUUUUUUGAUGCUAUUGGUUGUAUUAAUUUUAGAUCUAUCACAUCCCACAACUGUCCCAGACUAUGUUUGGUAUAUCUAUUUCUUGCACAGAAUGGAAUAGGUACAUUUUUGUACUAUGGGGGAUAGUAGAUUGACAUAGGCUAGUACUUUUGCUGUUCGUUAAGCCAACCUAUCUUGCAGGCUGACGAAAAGGUAAUGUGGACAGUUCCAAUAUCUUCAAUAGGCACCUCGGAAUUGGAUAAGGACUCGCACAGUUGCGUCCCCGAUGUGUCUGUCUUAACUUGUAGCCUGUGAGAAAGACCCGAUCAUGUGACAGAGAACCGUAUGAGUGAGAGAGCUUUGGAUUGGCAGCACACUCAGGGAGAAGGGCACAACACAGCACUCCAGGCCGCAAAAGGCAUGGAUUUUUUAGGGUGCAUUACGGCCACAUAGGGGAUUCCACCGUGGAAUUCGCGGCAUUAUGAAGUGCUUGUCAAAUUGUGAAUGAGAGACUACUGGAGUGUGUACAGCCUGCGCAAAAACAGAGCAGAGAUCAUGCCUUUCAAGCAACGUUUUUCAAAUCAUCAUUAGAGUCUCAUCAUGCAGCUUUACUGUGUAUUAAAAAUCUAAACAUGUAGCCCAUCGUUUGUAGAACAACUAUAGUUACAUUAAUAACUCUAAAUUAAGCAUUUGUUCAAUUGUAUUCUUCAUAAUAUAAAAUAAUACCACGGAAUUAUAAGCAGAUCUUGUUUGCUACAUUAACUAGUGUCGCCCACAGCCAUUUGGCAUAGCCACAUGAGGACCUAACAGAAGGACAACUCAGAGUAUGCUCUUCUUUUCUUCUGAAAUAGACUAAAUGUUCUUCAUAUCAUGCUUCUUCAGACCUGUCUAAAAUAAAUAAUGAAUUUAUUGUGAAGGUGUGGGCUAUAUUACAUGGAUUUAUUAGAAUUUUUAAAAUGGCUUGUCGGCUAUGUGUGGAAGACAGGAGAUGCUAAAUGUGUUUAUGUUAAUUAACGGUCAAAUACCGUGAGACCGACAGUUAUUUGCUUGACAAUCACCGGCUGACAAAAUGUUGAUACCUCCACAGCCCUAAGAAGCACCACAAAGUACAUUUAAAAAAAGAAACAAAACGAAUGUGUAGCCUACCUGUUGGAAAGGGUUUAGUUGUUGGAUCACUAAUGUGAACUCCCACCAGAUCUGAAAACAUUGAAAUGUGGUAUUUAGUUUGUUGGUCAGAAUGAAUAUAGUCAUACUAAGAAGAUGCUAAAAUCAAAGUGAGUCAGAUCAUGAAGACCUGCAGCCCUGAUAGAUUUGUUUAGAUAAUGACUCACCUGUAAAGCUGUACCCAUCACUGCGUGGAGAGAGAGAGUUUGGUCCUGAGCUCACUCUGUAAUCACAGCUCACCUCCUUACUCCUCACUGACUGUAGACGACUGAUCAGAUCACUAUGUUUUGGAGUGAAUUGACAGAACUCCUUUCCGGGUGCUGAGGUGGAUUGUCUCUUCUUGGUCUUUGCUGUGAAGGAUGGCUGACUCUCCUCUCCAACAUACAGGUUACAGGUGGUGUCAGGACUGACGGAUCCAGGAAUCAAACAGAUGAUGUUGAAGUACUCAUCAAAAUUGACUGUAAUGUCUGGUUUUGGAUCUGUUAGGAGAAGACAGAGACUCCUUUUUGCAUCACUCUAUUUGAAUGUAAUGUAUAUGUCACAAUUGACACUCUACUAAACUAGAGC
rnacentral:lncRNA from 1 species